UUUAUGGAGAGUUUGAUCCUGGCUCAGGAUGAACGCUGGCGGCGUGCCUAAUACAUGCAAGUCGAGCGAACUGAUAAGGAGCUUGCUCCUUUGACGUUAGCGGCGGACGGGUGAGUAACACGUGGGUAACCUACCUAUAAGACUGGGAUAACUUCGGGAAACCGGAGCUAAUACCGGAUAAUAUUUCGAACCGCAUGGUUCGAUAGUGAAAGAUGGUUUUGCUAUCACUUAUAGAUGGACCCGCGCCGUAUUAGCUAGUUGGUAAGGUAACGGCUUACCAAGGCGACGAUACGUAGCCGACCUGAGAGGGUGAUCGGCCACACUGGAACUGAGACACGGUCCAGACUCCUACGGGAGGCAGCAGUAGGGAAUCUUCCGCAAUGGGCGAAAGCCUGACGGAGCAACGCCGCGUGAGUGAUGAAGGUCUUCGGAUCGUAAAACUCUGUUAUUAGGGAAGAACAUACGUGUAAGUAACU
rnacentral:rRNA from 1 species